UUUUAUGGAGAGUUUGAUCCUGGCUCAGGAUGAACGCUGGCGGCGUGCCUAAUACAUGCAAGUCGAGCGAACAGAUAAGGAGCUUGCUCCUUUGACGUUAGCGGCGGACGGGUGAGUAACACGUGGAUAACCUACCUAUAAGACUGGGAUAACUUCGGGAAACCGGAGCUAAUACCGGAUAACAUAUUGAACCGCAUGGUUCAAUAGUGAAAGGCGGCUUUGCUGUCACUUAUAGAUGGAUCCGCGCCGUAUUAGCUAGUUGGUAAGGUAACGGCUUACCAAGGCAACGAUACGUAGCCGACCUGAGAGGGUGAUCGGCCACACUGGAACUGAGACACGGUCCAGACUCCUACGGGAGGCAGCAGUAGGGAAUCUUCCGCAAUGGGCGAAAGCCUGACGGAGCAACGCCGCGUGAGUGAUGAAGGUCUUCGGAUCGUAAAACUCUGUUAUCAGGGAAGAACAAAUGUGUAAGUAACUGUGCACAUCUUGACGGUACCUGAUCAGAAAGCCACGGCUAACUACGUGCCAGCAGCCGCGGUAAUACGUAGGUGGCAAGCGUUAUCCGGAAUUAUUGGGCGUAAAGCGCGCGUAGGCGGUUUUUUAAGUCUGAUGUGAAAGCCCACGGCUCAACCGUGGAGGGUCAUUGGAAACUGGAAAACUUGAGUGCAGAAGAGGAAAGUGGAAUUCCAUGUGUAGCGGUGAAAUGCGCAGAGAUAUGGAGGAACACCAGUGGCGAAGGCGACUUUCUGGUCUGUAACUGACGCUGAUGUGCGAAAGCGUGGGGAUCAAACAGGAUUAGAUACCCUGGUAGUCCACGCCGUAAACGAUGAGUGCUAAGUGUUAGGGGGUUUCCGCCCCUUAGUGCUGCAGCUAACGCAUUAAGCACUCCGCCUGGGG
rnacentral:rRNA from 1 species